GACGUAGGGGGCCAGCGUUGUUCGGAAUUACUGGGUGUAAAGGGUUCGUAGGCGGUGUGGCAAGUCGGGAGUGAAAUUUCUGGGCUCAACUCAGAGACUGCUUCCGAAACUGCUGUGCUUGAGUGUGGGAGAGGGUAGUGGAAUUCCCGGUGUAGUGGUGAAAUGCGUAGAUAUCGGGAGGAACACCAGUGGCGAAGGCGACUACCUGGCCUGUUCUUGACGAUGAGGCGCGAAAGCUAGGGGAGCAAACGGG
rnacentral:rRNA from 1 species